rnacentral:rRNA from 1 species
UACGUAGGUGGCAAGCGUUGUCCGGAUUUACUGGGCGUAAAGAGCGUGUAGGCGGCCAUGUAGGUCCGGUGUGAAAACUCGAGGCUUAACCUCGAGAUGUCAUCGGAAACCAUUUGGCUAGAGUCCGGAAGAGGAGAGUGGAAUUCCUGGUGUAGCGGUGAAAUGCGCAGAUAUCAGGAAGAACACCAAUGGCGAAAGCAGCUCUCUGGGACGGUACUGACGCUGAGACGCGAAAGCGUGGGGAGCGAACAGG